rnacentral:rRNA from 1 species
UACGGAGGGUGCAAGCGUUAUCCGGAUUCACUGGGUUUAAAGGGAGCGCAGGCGGAUUUGUAAGUCAGUGGUGAAAGGCUUAAGCUUAACUUGGGAACUGCCAUUGAUACUAUAAGUCUUGAAUGUUGUUGAGGUUUGCGGAAUGGGUCAUGUAGCGGUGAAAUGCAUAGAUAUGACCCGGAACACCUAUUGCGAAGGCAGCAGGCUAAAGUAUAACUGACGCUGAUGCACGAAAGCGUGGGGAGCAAACAGG